rnacentral:rRNA from 1 species
GCUAACUUUCUUCCUCUUAGGUGAACCUGCGGAGGGAUCAUUA